CAGUAGCCACGGGAAUACGUAGGUGGCAAGCGUUGUCCGGAAUUAUUGGGCGUAAAGGGCUCGCAGGCGGUUUCUUAAGUCUGAUGUGAAAGCCCCCGGCUCAACCGGGGAGGGUCAUUGGAAACUGGGAAACUUGAGUGCAGAAGAGGAGAGUGGAAUUCCACGUGUAGCGGUGAAAUGCGUAGAGAUGUGGGGGAACACCAGUGGCGAAGGCGACUCUCUGGUCUGUAACUGACGCUGAGGAGCGAAAGCGUGGGGAGCGAACAGGAUUAGAUACCCCUGUAGUCCCUGUCUCUUAUAC
rnacentral:rRNA from 1 species